GAACCUAUUGAGGCACAUGUUCGGCAACCUGUAGAGCAAGCUGUUCCUAGCCGACUUCACGCUUGCAGGAGAUUUGGCAUCCAAGAGUAAUUCAGGGCAACCUGUAGAGCAAGCUGUUCCUAGCCGACUUCACGCUUGUAGGAGAUUUGGCAUCCAAGAGUAAUUUAGUACUGGAAGCAUAUGAAGUCUGAGAUACAAAAGGAUUCCUUUUGAAACAUUAUGGAUAUGAGUGCUAACCUUGGCAGAUUUGCAGCAUCUUUGAAGAAAAAUGAUGGUUGGGUUAUGAAUAUAUUCCCUUUUACAAAAUAAGGAAGCUAAAGAUUAUAUGUGAUCGUGGUUUAAUGGGAACUGCCCAUGAUUGGUAAGAUUCUCCUGGCAAUCACAAAACUAGGCUAACCUCAACACAUGGUAAGCACCAAUUGCAAACUGCAUUUUUUACAAAGUUGUUUUGUAGCACUAAUUUUUUUUGUACCUUUUCAUCUCAGAGCUACUAUUAAUUUCAUAACAAUCCCAUUGUACUCUCGUGUUGCAGAACUAUUCUCCUGGCAAUUUGUAUAACGAACUAUGCUUUUGUCAUCAUUCUAUGUCUCAAGCUCCACUUUGAAAUGUGUAGGUUUGUGAAAUGGGAUGAUGAUAUAAGUUUAGGUUUCGAUACAAAUUCUUUAAGAGGUCUAUUUUCUGAUUUAAAAUGACAAUGGACGUAGUUUACAUUAUUCAAAAUACAGUUGUGAUACAGAAGAGCAAACAAACAUUGUAUUUAUGUGAAAUAUGUUUCCAAAUGUGUUGCCCGUAUUUUUUCCAUUGUAUAAUAGUUCUGUAAAAAUACUCCCUUGUUUUCACCUAAUGCCUUUUUGUGGUUCUACUUCUUUUUUCUUUUGCACACUGAUCAGUUUAUUUAUGUAGUUUAAUUCACAUAAUUCCUAUAUAUCUUCCCAAGUGAAUCUUGGGCUUGGAGUUCAAGGAUCAAGUAUUACCUCAUCUACAACACCAGAAUUUUGAGUCCCCGGUUCUGAUGGCUUAUUUGAUUACUUUCAGAUGGCAAAAGAAAUUGCAUUGCUUGGGGUAUUUUAUCACUUAUAGUUGUUUUUCGUGCAUUGAGAAUUUACACCUAUAUGUGCAGAUGAUAUACGAGCAUAUACAUGUGAAGAACAACAAAUUUUGGCUAAAGUUGUUGGUGUGGAAUCUUCUAUGAUAACAGGAGAAAUAAACAAGCAAGUGAAGAUGACCCAAAGAUUCUAUAUUCGGUAUAUCAAGCCUUUGUACUGUAUAGGAAAAAAUUUUGUACAUGCCCUCUGACUUUUUUUGCACAUACCUGCUCAUGAAAUAGGUUUAGGUUGUGUGCUCAGUUUGUUUUUUUCUAAACACGUUAGGUUAGAUGUUUGAGUUUGGCUAAUUAGAAAAUCAAACAAACAUGCAAGGCUGAAGUUACCAAGCAGUUACAAAAUUAGUUCAAUUGUUACAUUGUUAGGAAUUCUACUCGAAUUCUUUUUGAAAUUUGGGAGUAUGGGUAAUUAUAGUUACAAUUUUGCGACAGUCUGACUUGUCCUUAAAAUAGCCUAAAGUUUCUCAGUUCAGUCAAUAAUGCUUAUAAGGUGAAAAUUAUUGAAAGGGAAGUGUGUGAGAAACUAUAAAUACAUAAACCAUCAAGGCACACGUUCAUGGGUUUUUUCUUCAAGAACUUUACAAAAUAUUUGUAAUUUCAGGAUUUUGUUUGCCGUUGAAAUUUGGAACUGUUAUAUAUUUAUAUAUAUAUAUAUAGAUGUUAGGGGCUUUACAAAAACAUUAGUGGAAAUUUGGUGAAGCAUUUAUGUCCCAGAAAAGUAAUAUGGGGUUGCUAACACGUUAUUUUAUUAGUUUAGCUUUUGGGUAUCUUUCUCGCUCUACAAGGUAUCAAGCUUUUUCUUCUUAAUUACCAUUAAACUAUAUAAUUAUAUGAUGGUUGUUAUCCCUAUGGUCUAAACAAACUGCUUGGAGUCACUGUGACAUACUCUUUUGAGUGAAAAUUCCAAGUGAUCUCAACAUAGUGAAUGUUUCGUUUACCUAGAACAUAUAUAAAUCUGUUUUGGACCUGUGUCUGAACAUCUUUGCAAUUUAGUUACCAUGCCCUUCUCGUUAUUCUGACUUCUAAGUAUAAGUGUAUAAAAAUUCAACAUUUUCAGCUUAUCUGGAUGCACCUUAUUUUGGUCUUUGUAAGGAUCUUUUGUGCUUUUCUCUUGGUAGUUGGUAUUGUCUCUUUUUGCUCGUACUUCCUUAAAACCUGACGCCUUUUGAAGCUUUGUCCGCGUUCCGCGGGUUUCCGGCCACCACCGUGUCGACGCGUGGCCAAGUUGAUCGCGGACCCGAAGCAUUCAUUCAAUAGAGCUGUGAGCGCCUGAACAGUUCCGUGUUCUCCACUUCUCUCCCACACCAUCCCUCUUAUCCUGUGCUCAGCAGCCAUUAGCACGCUCUAGGCCUCCCUCCUCCGCCCGCUCCUUUCGCCACUGCCCCUGCCGCCGCCAGCCCCUCUCCUCCACCUCCCUCUAUUUCCCCCACGGCCACCGUGAGCCCCGCCUCCGUGCAUUGGUCCUGGCCGCGGCGCGAGGAGGUGGACCACUGCGAACAUGUGGCCGAAACGAAGACCUGCCGCUGCUGGGGAUGGCCCUGACGCCACCACGAUUUGGGGACCGAGGAUGAGGAGCCCGAGGAGGUGGAGUCGCAGGCAGAGGAUCCUCGCGAGGAGGAGAACACGGAGGCGGUGCCCGUAGUUGUAGGGGAACCGGUCGAGAGCACUUGCAAGGGGAAGAAGCAAAAGAAGCACUAUGCUUCCUUCGAGUACCACGACAACAGCUUCGAGCUGGAGAACCCGUGCUUCUCAUGCCUGAGGACAGCAAUCAGAAGCCCUAUGUCGCCAUCCUCAAGGCCAUACUAUUGAUUCACAUGCCAGCUAAAUUUAGGACCACCCCGAUUGAAGGCUCUUCCCACUUAAGUAAUUCUUCUUUCUGAAUCCAUUUUUAGCUUAUUCACUUGGA